rnacentral:rRNA from 1 species
CACGUAGGGCGCAAGCGUUGUCCGGAAUUAUUGGGCGUAAAGAGCUCGUAGGCGGUCUGUUACGUCUGCUGUGAAAACCCGGGGCUUAACCCUGGGCUUGCAGUGGAUACGGGCAGACUAGAGGCAGGUAGGGGAGAAUGGAAUUCCCGGUGUAGCGGUGAAAUGCGCAGAUAUCGGGAAGAACACCUAUGGCGAAGGCAGCUCUCUGGGACGGUACUGACGCUGAGACGCGAAAGCGUGGGGAGCGAACAGG